rnacentral:tRNA from 1 species
UCCCUGGUAACUCAGAUGGUAAAGUGUCUGCCUACAAUGCGGGAGACCCGGGUUCAAUCCCUGGGUUGGGAA